UACAGAGGGUGCGAGCGUUAAUCGGAAUUACUGGGCGUAAAGCGCGCGUAGGCGGCUUUGCAAGUCGGGUGUGAAAUCCCCAGGCUUAACCUGGGAACUGCAUCCGAGACUGCAUUGCUAGAGUAUGGGAGAGGGAAGUGGAAUUUCAGGUGUAGCGGUGAAAUGCGUAGAUAUCUGAAGGAACAUCAGUGGCGAAAGCGACUUCCUGGACCAUUACUGACGCUGAGGCGGCGAAAAGCUAGGGGAGCAAACGGGG
rnacentral:rRNA from 1 species